rnacentral:tRNA from 2 species
GGGCGCUUAGCUCAGCUGGCCAGAGCGCACGGUUCACAUCCGUGAGGUCACAGGUUCAAGUCCUGUAGCGCCCACCA